UGCCAGCAGCCGCGGUAAUACGGAGGGUGCGAGCGUUAAUCGGAAUUACUGGGCGUAAAGGGCGCGUAGGCGGUCGCGCAAGUCGGGUGUGAAAGCCCCGGGCUCAACCUGGGAAUUGCAUUCGAUACUGCGUAACUAGAGUCUGGUAGAGGGAAGCGGAAUUCCGCAUGUAGCGGUGAAAUGCGUAGAUAUGCGGAGGAACACCAGUGGCGAAGGCGGCUUCCUGGACCAAGACUGACGCUGAGGCGCGAAAGCGUGGGGAGCAAACAGGAUUAGAUACCCUGGUAGUCCACGCCCUAAACGAUGAGGACUAGACGUUGGGGGGAUAAAACCCUUUAGUGUCGCAGCUAACGCGUGAAGUCCUCCGCCUGGGGAGUACGGCCGCAAGGUUGAAACUCAAAUGAAUUGACGG
rnacentral:rRNA from 1 species